GCCAAAGUGCCAUAGUAGCCUGAGGGCACCCCAUCCCGGAAGCUAAGCAAGGUCAGUCCUGGCUAUCGCUUGGAUUGGGGACCACCUGGAGAGACCAGGGACUGGAAGCUUUUGGCU
ensembl:rRNA 5S_rRNA 5S ribosomal RNA